GACGAACGCUGGCGGCGUGCCUAAUACAUGCAAGUCGAACGAGAGCGACCGGUGCUUGCACUGGUCAAUCUAGUGGCGAACGGGUGAGUAACACGUGGGUAACCUGCUCAUCAGAGGGGGAUAACAUCCGGAAACGGAUUCUAAAACCUCAUAGGUCUUCGAGCCGCAUGGCUUGAAGAGGAAAAGAGGCGCAAGCUUCUGCUGAUGGAUGGACCCGCGGUGCAUUAGCUAGUUGGUGAGGUAACGGCUCACCAAGGCCGAGAUGUAUAGCCGACCUGAGAGGGUGAUCGGCCACAUUGGGACUGAGACACGGCCCAAACUCCCACGGGAGGCAGAAGUAGGGAAUCUUACGCAAUGGACGCAAGUCUGACGGAGCAACGCCGCGUGAGUGAAGAAGGUUUUCGGAUCGUAAAACUCUGUUGUUAGAGAAGAACAAGUGCUAGAGUAACUGUUAGAGCCUUGACGGUAACUAACCAGAAAGCCACGGCUAACUACGUG
rnacentral:rRNA from 1 species